rnacentral:rRNA from 1 species
UACGGGGGGGGCAAGCGUUGUUCGGAAUUACUGGGCGUAAAGGGCUCGUAGGCGGCCAACUAAGUCAGACGUGAAAUCCCUCGGCUUAACCGGGGAACUGCGUCUGAUACUGGAUGGCUCGAGUUUGGGAGAGGGAUGCGGAAUUCCAGGUGUAGCGGUGAAAUGUGUAGAUAUCUGGAGGAACACCGGUGGCGAAGGCGGCAUCCUGGACCAACACUGACGCUGAUGAGCGAAAGCCAGGGGAGCAAACGGG